AGGUCCUGCCCUUUUGGGCGUUUCCUCCCUAAUGAACUGGCCGCGCCUCCGGGCGCGGCCUUUUUUUCAUGCUUC
rnacentral:sRNA from 1 species